AAGUCGUAACAAGGUUUCCGUAGGUGAACCUGCGGAAGGAUCAUUACCGUGGGGAUUCGUCCCAUGAGAUAGCACCCUUGUUACUUGUAGUACUCUUGUUUCCUUCGGCGGGCGUUGCCCUGCCAGUAGGACAAUAAAAACCCUUUGUAGUAGCAGUAACUUCAGUUAAUAAUAAAUAUUAAAA
rnacentral:misc_RNA from 1 species